UUUUUUGCUUGCAUAAGGCUACUUUCCUCGCAAUAAUAUUUAUGUAGAUCAGUUUUGAAUUGAUUUAGUCACUAUGCUAGAAAAUGAACAGCCUGUGAACAGAGGCUUUCACACAAUCACACCCAAUAUCCUUAGUUGGCAACCAAUGAGUCUGAAUCUAGACCAAAGGAAGGGAGCGCCACCGGACGCGAGCCACCGACAAUGCUGGAGGGACUAAGGGAGGGAGCAACAUCGGAUGCCAAAUCGAGCCAAAAGCGAGCGAAGCGAGUGACGAAGAUGGACCGAGAGAGUAUGCCGAACGCGAGCCGCGUAUGAUGCCGGAGAGGGGAGGACGUUGAACGCCAGACGUCGGACCGAGAGAAGAGAGUACGAGAGAGAAAUGUUGAUUUUAAGGGAGGGAGCAACAUCAAAGCGAAAGAACACCUCGGUGCCUUUAGUUCCAUUGGUGAAAAAGCAGAUUUUAACAUUCUUUUGAGUAUUUGGAUUUGUGUUAUUUGGUGUGUGUGGAAAGGAAUGAACGAAUGCAAGUUUAAUCAAGGUAGUUGGAGUAAAGACAACAUUUUGGCUGAGAUUAAAGCGAGAGUUUGGGGCUGGAUUUCUGCUUACAAGCUGCCGACUUCAUCCUCUGAUUUUAGAUCUUGGUUCCUGGGAGAGCAGAUUAUUUCUAGGCCUUGAAUUUCUCUUUGGAGUCCUAGCGUUGGAGUUGUUUUUGUCUGUUUGCUGGUUUGCCUUUCGCAGGCUCCUUUCUGUUUUUUUCUUGCUCUGUAAUCUGGUACUGCUUGUGCCGUGUUUUCCUUUUAAUUGAUGAAGUUUUUUCCCUGAUAAAAAAAAAGAGAGUACGAGAGAGAAAUGUUGAGAGCGGUUGUGCUUGUGCAGA